CUUCACCGAGCCGAUCCACAGCGGAUGGCGACGGUCCUGGCCGUAGGUCGCCAGCAGCGCCUGCGCCUC
rnacentral:antisense_RNA from 1 species